UACAGAGGGGCGAGCGUUAUUCGGAAUUAUUGGGCGUAAAGGGCGCGUAGGCGGCCCCUUUGUCGCGUGUGAAAGCCCCGGGCUCAACCUGGGAACGGCGCCGCGAAACGGGGGGGCUUGAGUUCGGGAGAGGAGAGUGGAAUUCCCGAGUGUAGAGGUGGAAAUUCGUAGAUAUUGGGAAAGAACACCGGUGGCGAAGGCGGCGAACCUGGGUAGAUACGUGACG
rnacentral:rRNA from 1 species